rnacentral:lncRNA from 1 species
GGCAAAUAUAUGAGGAUUUUACUAUAGUAGGAGAAUUAUAAAAACUCUCUAAAUACAAGGAGAUAUCAACAAUUAAUCUCUCUUGUAAUAGAAAAAACAAGUAGGAAAUACUAUAGGAAGAAACAAUAAUUUUUCACUCUAUUUUUAUCUCUCUACUCACAAUUUUCACUCUACUCAAUCUUUUCUUUUCUCUCAAUUUUUUUCUCUCCAACACGGCUUAUUUCACUUGGCAUGUUAGUUCUCUAUUCAUAGAGAAAUUUGGCUUCAAACUGUCUCACUUUGUUUCGCUCAAAACCUGCCAUCAAGGUGCAUAUGAAAGAGGAGAGUAGGAUGUAUAUGAGAACCUCGUUAGACAAUUAAUAGCCUUGCAUGUGGGAGACUUGUUCAUGAAGAAAGUGGCUGGACCAAAGCUCAAAAAUUCCACUGCCUAUGUAUUAAAUGCUUGCAUGAAUUUUAUCAUUUUGUAGUCAACAUUUGUGGCUUUAAUUUUCAACACAUUCACUGUUGUCAACUGGUUUUUCUACUAUUCAUCAAUAAACAUCUCACUAUUGUCCUCUUGCAUGUCUCUUCUCAACCCACUUUCUUCCUCUUUCGCUUCUUUUUCUCUUUCGCUUCUUUUCCCACCAUCUUCAAAUUUUUCCCAGAAUUCCUUCGUAGAAAAUAAUCAUAGCUCUCUUUUUUUCAAUUCUCUAACCACGUUUACAUUUUUCCCCGAAUCACAACAAUAUAGGUUCUCGAAAAGGAAAACAAUUAAAUACAUAAUUCUGUGCUUUCCGUAACUGAAUCCAUUUCCUUUUCGAUAAUGGAAGAAUAAAAUUAUGUUGCCGGUCUCAGACGAUGUGCCGGAGCGGAGGUUGUGAGAACAUCGGAGGCUACGGUGAUGAUGUUGGUUUCCUGCUCUUUUUCGUCUGCAUUUUUCACUUUAGUUUGUAAAAGGUCUCGGGUAUACUUGUUUAUGUAUAUUUUCUAUAACAUAUUUUAUACAUAAUUUUUUUUAUAUUAUGUGUAAAAAGAAGUUUUAAGAACAUGGUUUUUACACUUUAUAUAUUUUUAUAUUUUUUUAUAUUAUGUGUCGAGGAAAUUUCUGCACAAAAAUAGUUAUGGAAAAGUGUAAAGCAAAAACCAAUCUUACUUGCAGGAUGAAUUUUCCACGGAAUAUGAACAAAAACUGAAGGAUGUCAAGGAAUUAUUGAAAUCAGAGGAAUUAGAAAAUCAAAUAGAAAGCCUAAUGUUGGUGGAUGCUAUCUAGCGUCUAAGUGUUGACUACCAUUUUCAGGAAGAGAUUGAAUCAGUUCUUCGGUGACAUUAUAAGGAAGCCACUUCUUUUGAUGGAUACACUCUUCAUGAUCUUUCACUUUUCUUCAGACUCUUGAGAGAACAUGAUUUUUACAUUCCCGCAGGUUGAGCUUUUUCCCCCUCUUUGUUUGGUGCUUGUUUUUGUUAAUUACCCAUGACUAGGGCUGGGCAAAUCUCCCGAACCGAACCGACCGAACCGAACCCGAACCGAACCGAUCCGAACCCGACGGUUCUUGUCAAAUUAAAUACCCGAACGGGUAUCUGAAUUGAGAACCGACGGGUACGGUUCGGUUCUCGGUUCUAGACCAAGAACCGAAGAACCGAAUAAGAACCGAAUCUUUCUAAUUUUUUUUUAUAUUGAGUAAAUCAAAUUAUUUUAAUUUUAAUUUUUUCUAAACAAAUUAACAAAUUAAUGAUUUCUAAAUCCAAAUUUUUGGCCCAAUAAUUUGUUUCAUUUCUAAUUUUUUAAUUUUUGGCUCAAUUACCCAUUUUAUUGUUUCAUUUCUUAGCCAAACAAAUCAAAUCCACUAAAUAACCCUAAGCACCUACAAUAAAGUGCAUAACAUUGUCUCGACUCUCGCACUCACUCUCGUAGCCUAUCUAAUAUUCCAAAAUCUAUACAAUCGUCGGCCGACACUCUGACCUCCGAUCGAAGCCGUGACUUUCCUCGACUGAAGCUUUGAUCGUAGCGAUCAUUUGAACAAGGUAGUUUACUAAUCUCUGACAUUCCAAAACUAUUGAAUGUAUCAUUAGUCGUAUUUAUAUAACGUUGUUAUAAAUGUUAAAAAAUUUAAUUAUAGUACAGAACCGAACGGAACCGAACCGAUCCGAACCGAACCGAAUGGAACCGAACCCGAACGGUUCCAUAAUUAUAUUUGGACCCGACGGUUCCAUUUACUAGAUACCCGAAAAGUUUGGUUCGGUUCGGUUCUAAAGAGAACCGAACCGAACCGACCCGCGCCCACCCCUACCCAUGACACAGACAUAUUGUUGGAAAUUUACUUAAAUAUGC